rnacentral:rRNA from 1 species
AUUGAACGCUGGCGGCAUGCUUUACACAUGCAAGUCGAACGGUAACAGACCGCAAGGUGCUGACGAGUGGCGAACGGGUGAGUAAUGCAUCGGAACGUGCCCAGUCGUGGGGGAUAACGCAGCGAAAGCUGUGCUAAUACCGCAUACGAUCUGUGGAUGAAAGCGGGGGACCGUAAGGCCUCGCGCGAUUGGAGCGGCCGAUGUCAGAUUAGGUAGUUGGUGGGGUAAAGGCCUACCAAGCCGACGAUCUGUAGCUGGUCUGAGAGGACGACCAGCCACACUGGGACUGAGACACGGCCCAGACUCCUACGGGAGGCAGCAGUGGGGAAUUUUGGACAGUGGGCGCAAGCCUGAUCCAGCAAUGCCGCGUGCAGGAAGAAGGCCUUCGGGUUGUAAACUGCUUUUGUACGGAACGAAACGGUCUGGGUUAAUACCCUGGGCUAAUGACGGUACCGUAAGAAUAAGCACCGGCUAACUACGUGCCAGCCGCCGCAGUAAUAC